UAUAGCUACUAUGUCAAAAAAUCAAAUAGCCGGAAAAGAGGGAGCUUCCGAGAGAGAGAGACUCUACCCAAGAUCUAUUCAGUAAUACAAAAUUAAUAAGAUGAGCAGAAAUUCAGAAAUGCAGAACUUUUGGACAUUCUUUAAAUACAUUUACAGCUCUGCUUCAGAACCUACCGACCCAGAGGUUAUACAGCUUCGUUGAGGAGUGAACGCUUACUCGACAAAUUCAAAGACUUUGGGGUGGGAGGGCCAAUUUAUACACUGUUGUCGGAUACGUUCUGUAUUUGAAGUCUUAUUUUCAAUAAAAAAUAUUUCAACUAAA